AUAGUGUGCUGGAUUUGGGGAACUGAAAGGGUUUAGCUGAACUGAAAAGGCUUGGAGAAGGCAAGGGGGUAGGUGUGAGAGACAAAGCUAGAGAGGAAGGUGGGGUCUGACACAGAGGGCCUUGGAAGCCCUCUUUCAGAGUUUGAAACUUAUCCUAUAGGCAGAUAAUGAAAGAAGACAAUGAAAAAUUUUAUAUAGCAAAAGGAUGCAUUCAGUUUUUUGU
rnacentral:lncRNA from 1 species